UACGUAGGGUGCGAGCGUUGUCCGGAAUUAUUGGGCGUAAAGGGCUCGUAGGCGGUUUGUCACGUCGGGAGUGAAAACUCGGGGCUCAACCCCGAGCCUGCUUCCGAUACGGGCAGACUAGAGGUAUGCAGGGGAGAGUGGAAUUCCUGGUGUAGCGGUGAAAUGCGCAGAUAUCAGGAAGAACACCCGUGGCUAAGGCGGCUCUCUAGUACGGUACUGACGCUGAGACGCGAAAGCGUGGGGAGCGAACAGG
rnacentral:rRNA from 1 species